GAUGAACGCUGGCGGCGUGCCUAAUACAUGCAAGUCGAACGCGUGAGGAGGGAGCUUGCUCCCUCUGAUCGAGUGGCGGACGGGUGAGUAACACGUAGGCAACCUGCCCAUCAGCCGGGGAUAACUGCGGGAAACCGUGGCUAAUACCGGAUAAUCCUCCCCGCCGCGGGGUGGGGAGUUGAAAGACGGUUUCGGCUGUCGCUGACGGAUGGGCCUGCGGCGCAUUAGCUGGUUGGCGGGGUAACGGCCCACCAAGGCAACGAUGCGUAGCCGACCUGAGAGGGUGAUCGGCCACACUGGGACUGAGACACGGCCCAGACUCCUACGGGAGGCAGCAGUAGGGAAUCUUCCGCAAUGGUCGCAAGUCUGACGGAGCAACGCCGCGUGAGUGAAGAAGGGUUUCGGCUCGUAAAACUCUGUUGUUAAGGAAGAACGCCAGGUAGAGUAACUGCUACCUGUGUGACGGUACUUAACCAGAAAGCCACGGCUAACUACGUGCCAGCAGCCGCCGUAA
rnacentral:rRNA from 1 species